UACGUAGGGUGCAAGCGUUGUCCGGAAUUAUUGGGCGUAAAGAGCUCGUAGGCGGUCUGUCGCGUCGGCUGUGAAAACUCGGGGCUCAACCCCGAGCCUGCAGUCGAUACGGGCAGACUAGAGUGCUGUAGGGGAGACUGGAAUUCCUGGUGUAGCGGUGAAAUGCGCAGAUAUCAGGAGGAACACCGGUGGCGAAGGCGGGUCUCUGGGCAGUAACUGACGCUGAGGCGCGAAAGCCAGGGGAGCAAACGGG
rnacentral:rRNA from 1 species